AAAAUGCUCGCUUUUGAAGGUCUCCGUGCUCGCUUUCAAAGUGGGUGGUGCUGCUGGAGGGGGAUGCUUCGGAGAAAUGGCUUGCUGCCAUUGGCCGUGGCGUGUGCUGAGCUCAUCAAAUCUCGUUCAAUCAAAAUGUGCAAGAGAAUGAAAGUGGUGCAGAGGCAGCAACUGGUACCGAUCACGGUGGUCCUUGACGGUGAAGAUGGGAUGGAAGUGACAACAUCUAGUGGGUAAAUGAUGAGCCAUCAAGAUAAUACGGGUGCAAGUGUUCCUGCGGAAAGCUUGCUUCCUCUAAGCAUCAUGUUGUGCAGAAAAGGAGAGGCUUCCUAAGGUAGAUGAAGACUCCGCUAGGGUUGGCCUUCUGCCAAUAGAUUGAUAGUGUUUUGGGUGGUCAAUAGGGCGUGUAGUGCUUAUGUGGUCUCAAAUCAAAGGUUGACCUUGAUUGUGAUUCAAAUGGCAGCACUGUGACCACUUUUCAUCUCA